rnacentral:rRNA from 1 species
GAUCCUGGCUCAGGAUAAACGCUGGCGGCGCACAUAAGACAUGCAAGUCGAACGGAAGUCGUUAUAAGAAGGAUUGAAGAUUUAUCUGAUUGAGAUUUUAUAACAAUGGCUUUAGUGGCGGACUGGUGAGUAACGCGUGAGCAACCUGCCUACUAGAGGGGGAUAACAGUGAGAAAUCAUUGCUAAUACCGCAUAUGCCAUGAACAUCACAUGAUGAAAAUGGGAAAAG